UACGUAGGGGGCAAGCGUUAUCCGGAUUUACUGGGUGUAAAGGGAGCGUAGACGGUAAUGUAAGUCUGAUGUGAAAGCCCGCAGCUCAACUGCGGGACUGCUUUUGAAACUGCCAGGCUAGAGUGUCGGAGAGGUAAGUGGAAUUCCUAGUGUAGCGGUGAAAUGCGUAGAUAUUAGGAGGAACACCAGAGGCGAAGGCGGCUAACUGGACUGCAACUGACGCUGAGGCACGAAAGUGUGGGGAGCAAACAGG
rnacentral:rRNA from 1 species